rnacentral:tRNA from 1 species
AAGAAACUUAGGUUAAUAUCAAACCAAGAGCCUUCAAAGCCCUAAACAGAGGACUAUUCCCCCUAGUUUCUG